UGAGGAAUAUUGGUCAAUGGGCGAGAGCCUGAACCAGCCAAGUAGCGUGCAGGAUGACGGCCCUAUGGGUUGUAAACUGCUUUUAUGUGGGGAUAAAGUGCGUGACGUGUCAUGCAUUGCAGGUACCACAUGAAUAAGGACCGGCUAAUUCCGUGCCAGCAGCCGCGGUAAUACGGAAGGUCCGGGCGUUAUCCGGAUUUAUUGGGUUUAAAGGGAGCGUAGGCUGUUUGUUAAGCGUGUUGUGAAAUGUAAGAGCUCAACUUUUAGAUUGCAGCGCGAACUGGCAGACUUGAGUGUGCACAACGUAGGCGGAAUUCAUGGUGUAGCGGUGAAAUGCUUAGAUAUCAUGACGAACUCCGAUUGCGAAGGCAGCUUACGGGAGCGCAACUGACGCUAAAGCUCGAAGGUGCGGGUAUCGAACAGG
rnacentral:rRNA from 1 species